GUGCAGGGUCCCCGGGAGAGCCGCGUCUCCUCGGGGCUGGAGCAGUCGUGACCCAGAUUACCACCGCGGCGGCCUCGCCCUAACCCCCCUCUCUUCUUCCUCCAGGGGCACCCUUUGGAGAACCCCAGCUUCGGGGUCGAGACGCACCCGCUCUCCGUCAGCUCAAACACGGAUAAAUGUUCUAGAGAAGGGCGAAAUUCUUUUCGAUGAAGCCAUUACACCCCUCCUGGCAAAGGCUGUAAAAAGGAUUAGGGCGGGUCUCUUCCACCCGGGGUGCCUUCGGGGCUGGAACUGGCUUUUCAGGGAAAACCCCGAGAUGGUUUUGUUUCGGAAGCAGCAACAGUCCCCCGAGGAUACUCGAGCGCCCUGUGCGCGAGCCGCGAUCCCGUCCGGGGCUUGCCUUCCCGCCGCGCUCGCCACCCGGGGGCCGCCGGGCAGUUUGCAACCCCAGCUCCUUACCUCCCGCCGGCUGCCGGGGAUCCAGAGGCGAUUCUGCGCGGGGGUCUCCGGGUGGCCUGGGGGUGGUGGUCCUCGGGUGGUUGCAGUCUGUGCGCGCUUGCGCCUGGCUAGCGCUAGCUCGGCUCCAACCCAGUUCCCAGGAGCCCCCCGCAUCCACCCAGCGCGUCCAGACAGAUGACUGUCACUGGCUGCGCUUUGAAGCUCGGGGGAUAUUAUUAACUGAAAAAUCUGACACACCCGGGGGGCGGGGAGAGAAGGGGGCUGCGGCACAGACAAGGGGGAGGGAGAAAGGCAGAGGAAAGCGGCUUUACCCCGCCCUCUUGAUUUCCAUAAAAAUCAGGGGAGGCGCCAAGGCUUUCGCGCCAAAAGCCACUCGCUUUUCUUCUUUGCAGAGAGGAGGCUGCAAAGCUGGGAAAGCCCGGGGUGUGCUCCUCCCUCGCUUUUAGACCCCCGGGCUUGCACCCGGUGCACUCUGCGAACCAGCUGCGCGCCGAGCGGUGCAAUGCAGCACCCACCCUGCGGGCCUGGCAGUUGCUUGGCAUUAAAAUAUUUCUUUCCGGAGGGCUCCGGGGGUGUGUACUGGGGGAUGGGGGGGCGGGGGUGGGGGAGCCGAGGCUCCGAUCCCAGCCCCCGC
rnacentral:lncRNA from 1 species